UAACAGACUUUCGAUCUCUUUAUGAUGGCAGUACAGCAGAUCACUUAAGGAUUGCUAAGACAUGAAUUAACGUUUCUAACACUUGACAAAGUUACAACAUCCUACGUUGAAAAUGGACUAGACGAUACUGAUAAUAAUAAUGGUUUUAUGCAAAGUACGAGUAAUGGAUUGCAGUGCAACAGAUCACUCAAGGCUUGCUGAGCAUGAAUUAACAUUUUUAGCGCUU